rnacentral:rRNA from 1 species
AUUGAACGCUGGCGGCAUGCCUUACACAUGCAAGUCGAACGGCAGCACGGGGCAACCUGGUGGCGAGUGGCGAACGGGUGAGUAAUGCAUCGGAACGUACCUUUCAGUGGGGGAUAACGUAGCGAAAGUUACGCUAAUACCGCAUAUUCUGUGAGCAGGAAAGCAGGGGAUCGCAAGACCUUGCGCUGAUUGAGCGGCCGAUGUCAGAUUAGCUAGUUGGUGAGGUAAAGGCUCACCAAGGCGACGAUCUGUAGCGGGUCUGAGAGGAUGAUCCGCCACACUGGAACGGAGACACGGUCCAGACUCCUACGGGAGGCAGCAGUGGGGAAUUGUGGACAAUGGGGGCAACCCUGAUCCAGCCAUGCCGCGUGAGUGAAGAAGGCCUUCGGGUUGUAAAGCUCUUUCGGCCGGGAAGAAAUCGCACGGGCUAAUACCCUGUGUGGAUGACGGUACCGGAAUAAGAAGCACCGGCUAACUACGUGCCAGCCGCCGCAGUAAGAC